AACGACAAAGAAGGUUAUAAUAUUCCAAUCCUGGCGAUCAACAUUAAUUAUAAACAAAUAUCUGACAGACGCGCUCAGUUUUCAAAGAAAAUAGUAUUUAAAUAUAAUUUCAUUCGGUCAAAUAUUCGUUCGCUAGAAUAUUUACUCCAAACUUUAUUAUUUCAAUAAGUAUUUAAUUAUUGCUAAUAUGGGAUCCAAUAUAGUAUUCAAGUCAGGUAUCUCUAUGUUGAAAAAAAUGUGUAAGGUCCUAAAGUACUGGUUGGCGAUCUGUAGCAGAUGGCGGCUAAGUGUCUAUGUUCUCUUUGCCAUAAUGAUCCUCGGAAUUAUUCCACAAUUUCGAAUUUCUUCGAAACCUGAAAUUGUAGUAGAGAGAAAACCACUGGGUUUGGGAGACACACAUAGUAUAGUUGAAAAUCGCGCCAUGAAGUACUGUUUACAAGAAAAAGGCAAAGGAUGCGAAAGACCCAAUAUCGAUCCAUUUUCUGCAGAAGUUAUGGAAUAUAUAAAGGAUAUGCCGAAAGUUACUUGUAAAGGCUUUGAUUGGGUAAUAUGUAAGAAAUCAGAAUGCUAUGUUACCCAAGAAAUAUUCAAUAACAUAACAGAUGUCAGUUGUACUUACAGCGAUAUAAUAUAUGUAAAUGAUCGAGAAUAUUAUCUCUCCAACAAAACUAUAGUGAACGGAGGAGACAAGUAUACACUUAAUAGAAGUGACCACGUCAGAGUGUCAUGUACUGGUAGAUAUAAGCACACUUUUAGUUUUAUUUCACCGCGAUGGGAAGGCGUUAAAAUGGGUUUACGCCCAGUGGAGACACUACCAGUGCCUCCAAACCGUGAAGAUUCCUACAACGUUAUGAUCCUAGGCUUCGAUUCUACAUCUCACAAUGGAUUUAUAAGGAAAAUGCCGAAGAGUUACAAGUAUAUAUCCAAAAAAGCUAUCACCAUGAACGGUUACAACAUCGUUGGUGAUGGAACCCCUGCAGCUUUAUUUGCCAUACUUACUGGGAAGCCAGAAGAACAACAUCCCGAUUCAAGAAUAAAAGUAACAAACAAAGUUUACGUUGACCAUACAUCAUUUAUUUUCCACAAAUUGAAGAAUCUUGGAUAUCAAACAGCAUAUAUGGAAGAUGAGCCACGAACAGGAACCUUCCAGUUAAGGUUCAAUGGUUUUCGACAGCAACCAGCAGACCGUUAUCUUCGUCCAUUCUUCCUCGAAGAUAAGAAAAACAUGUUUUCGGAAAAGUUCUGCAUUGGUGCCACUCCUGUGUAUAAGUUUCUGAUAGAUAUGUCCGCUGAGCUAUUUCAGUUGGAUGGCAAAAAAUUUUGUUUCACAUUUUCAUCAGACAUUAGUCAUGAUAACUUCGACUUGAUAUCGUCGGCAGAUGAUUCACUUUUGUCAUUCAUGGAGACUUGGAGUGCCAAACACUUGGAAGACACUCUUCUUAUUAUCAUGGGCGACCAUGGUAGCAGGUUCUCAAAACUACAAGAAACAUAUCAAGGCAAACUGGAGGAAUAUUUACCCCUACUUUCUAUCUUCCUUCCGGAAAAACUCAAACGACUCAGGCCUGACGCUUUGGCAGCACUAAAUCAGAACGCUUAGAGUCACAACACCCUUUGAUUUACACACCACAAUAUUAGACGUGCUGGAUUUGAAAGACUUAAGCGAUAAGUACACAGUCCCUGGUUGUGAUUUACCCAGAGCUUUGAGUUUACUAGAGCCGAUACCUGCAAACCGCUCGUGCGCCGAUGCUGGCAUCGCUCGACAUUGGUGCAUAUGUACGAAGUGGCGCAAUGUGACUACAUCGUCUCCUAUGUACAACGAAAUAGCAACUGCUCUUGCCGACUAUAUUAACUUUCUUACUUCAGAACAACGAUCGAAGUGCGAAAGAAGACAACUUACAUCUAUAGAAUCAGUUUGGAUACAGGAAGUUGACGAUCAGUUGUUGAAAUAUGUAUUCUAUAAGGACGAAGAUGCAUUUCUUGGAAAUCCUCAAGCUUCGGCUCCAAGGACACCUUAUGAAUACUAUAUAGCUACGAUAAUAAUGAGUCCUGGACGAGCAGUAUUCGAAGGAUCGGUUAUUUAUGAUACACAAACAAAUGUGUCUUCAAUCACUAGAAAUGAAAUAUCAAGACUUAGUGCAUACAAAAACGAACCGCACUGUAUCACCGCAACGCACCCACAUCUAAAUCCAUUCUGCUAUUGCAAAGACCUACUUUGAAGUUAAUCUGUGAAUGUUACGACUAAGCCUAU